rnacentral:rRNA from 1 species
UAGGGAAUCUUCGGCAAUGGACGAAAGUCUGACCGAGCAACGCCGCGUGAGUGAAGAAGGUUUUCGGAUCGUAAAACUCUGUUGUUAGAGAAGAACAAGGACGUUAGUAACUGAACGUCCCCUGACGGUAUCUAACCAGAAAGCCACGGCUAACUACGUGCCAGCAGCCGCGGUAAUACGUAGGUGGCAAGCGUUGUCCGGAUUUAUUGGGCGUAAAGCGAGCGCAGGCGGUUUCUUAAGUCUGAUGUGAAAGCCCCCGGCUCAACCGGGGAGGGUCAUUGGCAACUGGGAGACUUGAGUGCAGAAGAGGAGAGUGGAAUUCCAUGUGUAGCGGUGAAAUGCGUAGAUAUAUGGAGGAACACCAGUGGCGAAGGCGGCUCUCUGGUCUGUAACUGACGCUAAGGCUCGAAAGCGUGGGGAGCAAACAGG